AGAGUUUGAUCCUGGCUCAGGACGAACGCUGGCGGCGUGCUUAACACAUGCAAGUCGAACGGAAAGGCCCUUCGGGGUACUCGAGUGGCGAACGGGUGAGUAACACGUGGGUGAUCUGCCCUGCACUUUGGGAUAAGCCUGGGAAACUGGGUCUAAUACCGAAUAGGACCACGCGCUUCAUGGUGUGUGGUGGAAAGCUUUUGCGGUGUGGGAUGGGCCCGCGGCCUAUCAGCUUGUUGGUGGGGUAAUGGCCUACCAAGGCGACGACGGGUAGCCGGCCUGAGAGGGUGACCGGCCACACUGGGACUGAGAUACGGCCCAGACUCCUACGGGAGGCAGCAGUGGGGAAUAUUGCACAAUGGGCGCAAGCCUGAUGCAGCGACGCCGCGUGAGGGAUGACGGCCUUCGGGUUGUAAACCUCUUUCAAUAGGGACGAAGCGCAAGUGACGGUACCUAUAGAAGAAGCACCGGCCAACUACGUGCCAGCAGCCGCGGUAAUACGUAGGGUGCGAGCGUUGUCCGGAAUUACUGGGCGUAAAGAGCUCGUAGGUGGUUUGUCGCGUUGUUCGUGAAAACUCACAGCUUAACUGUGGGCGUGCGGGCGAUACGGGCAGACUAGAGUACUGCAGGGGAGACUGGAAUUCCUGGUGUAGCGGUGGAAUGCGCAGAUAUCAGGAGGAACACCGGUGGCGAAGGCGGGUCUCUUGGCAGUAACUGACGCUGAGGAGCGAAAGCGUGGGGAGCGAACAGGAUUAGAUACCCUGGUAGUCCACGCCGUAAACGGUGGGUACUAGGUGUGGGUUCCUUCCUUGGGAUCCGUGCCGUAGCUAACGUAUUAAGUACCCCGCCUGGGGAGUACGGCCGCAAGGCUAAAACUCAAAGGAAUUGACGGG
rnacentral:rRNA from 1 species